rnacentral:rRNA from 1 species
AGUUUGAUCCUGGCUCAGGAUGAACGCUGGCGGCGUGCUUAACACAUGCAAGUCGAACGGGCUCAUAUUGAAACCUAGUGAUUUAUGAGUUAGUGGCGGACGGGUGAGUAACGCGUGGAAAACCUGCCGUAUACUGGGGGAUAACACUUAGAAAUAGGUGCUAAUACCGCAUAAGCGCACAGCUUCGCAUGAAGUGGUGUGAAAAACUCCGGUGGUAUACGAUGGUUCCGCGUCUGAUUAGCUUGUUGGCGGGGUAAUGGCUCACCAAGGCGACGAUCAGUAGCCGGCCUGAGAGGGUGAACGGCCACAUUGGGACUGAGACACGGCCCAAACUCCUACGGGAGGCAGCAGUGGGGAAUAUUGCACAAUGGGGGAAACCCUGAUGCAGCGACGCCGCGUGAGUGAAGAAGUAUUUCGGUAUGUAAAGCUCUAUCAGCAGGGAAGAAAUAGCGACCUUUGGGUCGCCAGACGGUACCUGAUUAAGAAGCCCCGGCUAACUACGUGCCAGCAGCCGCGGUAAUACGUAGGGGGCAAGCGUUAUCCAGAUUUACUGGGUGUAAAGGGAGCGUAGACGGCAGCACAAGUCUGAAGUGAAAUGCCGGGGCUUAACCUCGGAACUGCUUUGGAAACUGUGCAGCUAGAGUGAAGGAGAGGUAAGUGGAAUUCCUAGUGUAGCGGUGAAAUGCGUAGAUAUUAGGAGGAACACCAGUGGCGAAGGCGGCUUACUGGACUGUAACUGACGUUGAGGCUCGAAAGCGUGGGGAGCAAACAGGAUUAGAUACCCUGGUAGUCCACGCUGUAAACGAUGA